rnacentral:rRNA from 1 species
CCCUUAGAUGUUCUGGGCUGCACGCGCGCUACACUGAAGCUAUCAACACGUUUUCCCUCCCUGAGAAGGGCGGGUAACCUUUUGAAUCAGCUUCGUGGUAGGGAUCGGGGCUUGCAAUUGUUCCCCGUGAACCAGGAAUUCCUAGUAGACGCGAGUCAUAAGCUCGCAUCGAUUAAGUCCCUGCCCUUUGUACACACCGCCCGUCGCUACUACCGAUUGAACGUUUUAGUGAGGCAUUUGGACCGACGCAUCUCAGUUUAACCGCUGGUUUGUGUUGGAAAGACUUCCAAACUUGAGCGGUUAGAGGAAGUAAAAGUCGUAACA